rnacentral:rRNA from 1 species
UUCCGGUUGAUCCCGCCGGAGGCCACUGCUAUCGGGGUCCGACUAAGCCAUGCGAGUCAAGGGGGUGUCCCUCUGGGACACCACCGGCGGACGGCUCAGUAACACGUCGGUAACCUACCCUCGGGAGGGGGAUAACCCCGGGAAACUGGGGCUAAUCCCCCAUAGGCCUGAGGUACUGGAAGGUCCUCAGGCCGAAAGGGGCUUUUGCCCGCCCGAGGAUGGGCCGGCGGCCGAUUAGGUAGUUGGUGGGGUAACGGCCCACCAAGCCGAAGAUCGGUACGGGCUGUGAGAGCAGGAGCCCGGAGAUGGACACUGAGACACGGGUCCAGGCCCUACGGGGCGCAGCAGGCGCGAAACCUCCGCAAUGCGGGAAACCGCGACGGGGGGACCCCGAGUGCCGUGGCACCGCCACGGCUUUUCCGGAGUGUAAAAAGCUCCGGGAAUAAGGGCUGGGCAAGGCCGGUGGCAGCCGCCGCGGUAAUACCGGCGGCCCGAGUGGUGGCCGCUAUUAUUGGGCCUAAAGCGUCCGUAGCCGGGCCCGUAAGUCCCUGGCGAAGUCCCACGGCUCAACCGUGGGGCUUGCUGGGGAUACUGCGAGCCUUGGGACCGGGAGAGGCGGGGGGUACCCCUGGGGUAGGGGUGAAAUCCUAUAACCCCCAGGGGACCGCCAGUGGCGAAUGCGCCCCGCUGGAACGGGUCCGACUGUGAGGGACGAACGCCAGGGGAGCAAACCGGAUUACAUACCCGGGCAGU